rnacentral:rRNA from 1 species
GGGUUGUGAGGUUAAGCGACUAAGCGUACACGGUGGAUGCCCUGGCAGUCAGAGGCGAUGAAGGACGUGCUAAUCUGCGAUAAGCGUCGGUAAGGUGAUAUGAACCGUUAUAACCGGCGAUUUCCGAAUGGGGAAACCCAGUGUGUUUCGACACACUAUCAUUAACUGAAUCCAUAGGUUAAUGAGGCGAACCGGGGGAACUGAAACAUCUAAGUACCCUGAGGAAAAGAAAUCAACCGAGAUUCCCCCAGUAGCGGCGAGCGAACGGGGAGCAGCCCAGAGCCUGAAUCAGUAUGUGUGUUAGUGGAAGCGUCUGGAAAGGCGCGCGAUACAGGGUGACAGCCCCGUACACAAAAAUGCACAUGCUGUGAGCUCGAUGAGUAGGGCGGGACACGUGGUAUCCUGUCUGAAUAUGGGGGGACCAUCCUCCAAGGCUAAAUACUCCUGACUGACCGAUAGUGAACCAGUACCGUGAGGGAAAGGCGAAAAGAACCCCGGCGAGGGGAGUGAAAAAGAACCUGAAACCGUGUACGUACAAGCAGUGGGAGCACAGAGCAAUCUGUGUGACUGCGUACCUUUUGUAUAAUGGGUCAGCGACUUAUAUUCUGUAGCAAGGUUAACCGAAUAGGGGAGCCGAAGGGAAACCGAGUCUUAACUGGGCGUUAAGUUGCAGGGUAUAGACCCGAAACCCGGUGAUCUAGCCAUGGGCAGGUUGAAGGUUGGGUAACACUAACUGGAGGACCGAACCGACUAAUGUUGAAAAAUUAGCGGAUGACUUGUGGCUGGGGGUGAAAGGCCAAUCAAACCGGGAGAUAGCUGGUUCUCCCCGAAAGCUAUUUAGGUAGCGCCUCGUGAAUUCAUCUCCGGGGGUAGAGCACUGUUUCGGCAAGGGGGUCAUCCCGACUUACCAACCCGAUGCAAACUGCGAAUACCGGAGAAUGUUAUCACGGGAGACACACGGCGGGUGCUAACGUCCGUCGUGAAGAGGGAAACAACCCAGACCGCCAGCUAAGGUCCCAAAGUCAUGGUUAAGUGGGAAACGAUGUGGGAAGGCCCAGACAGCCAGGAUGUUGGCUUAGAAGCAGCCAUCAUUUAAAGAAAGCGUAAUAGCUCACUGGUCGAGUCGGCCUGCGCGGAAGAUGUAACGGGGCUAAACCAUGCACCGAAGCUGCGGCAGCGACGCUGAUGCGUUGUUGGGUAGGGGAGCGUUCUGUAAGCCUGCGAAGGUGUGCUGUGAGGCAUGCUGGAGGUAUCAGAAGUGCGAAUGCUGACAUAAGUAACGAUAAAGCGGGUGAAAAGCCCGCUCGCCGGAAGACCAAGGGUUCCUGUCCAACGUUAAUCGGGGCAGGGUGAGUCGACCCCUAAGGCGAGGCCGAAAGGCGUAGUCGAUGGGAAACAGGUUAAUAUUCCUGUACUUGGUGUUACUGCGAAGGGGGGACGGAGAAGGCUAUGUUGGCCGGGCGACGGUUGUCCCGGUUUAAGCGUGUAGGCUGGUUUUCCAGGCAAAUCCGGAAAAUCAAGGCUGAGGCGUGAUGACGAGGCACU